GACGAACGCUGGCGGCGUGCCUAAUACAUGCAAGUUGAGCGCUGAAGGUUGGUACUUGUACCAACUGGAUGAGCAGCGAACGGGUGAGUAACGCGUGGGGAAUCUGCCUUUGAGCGGGGGACAACAUUUGGAAACGAAUGCUAAUACCGCAUAAAAACUUUAAACACAAGUUUUAAGUUUGAAAGAUGCAAUUGCAUCACUCAAAGAUGAUCCCGCGUUGUAUUAGCUAGUUGGUGAGGUAAAGGCUCACCAAGGCGAUGAUACAUAGCCGACCUGAGAGGGUGAUAGGCCACAUUGGGACGGAGACACGGCCCAAACUCCUACGGGAGGCAGCAGUAGGGAAUCUUCGGCAAUGGACGAAAGUCUGACCGAGCAAGGCCGAGUGAGUGAAGAAGGUUUUCGGAUCGUAAAACUCUGUUGGUAGAGAAGAACGUUGGUGAGAGUGGAAAGCUCAUCAAGUGACGGUAACUACACAGAAAGGGACGGCUAACUACGUG
rnacentral:rRNA from 1 species